UCAUUGACUUCACAUCUGGCUCGGAGCU
rnacentral:piRNA from 1 species